CAUGCUGCCCUCUCCCCACACAGUGGUUCUGUCACCCCUCUUCUGCCAUCCCCUAUGUCACUCUUUGGUGUCACCCAUUGCAAAGCUGUCCAGGCAUUCUGUAGAGUCAGGAGGGUGUUUAUUUUCACUAAAGAUGUAUAAAAUGUAACCAAAAAAUUAUAAAAUGCCGCCAUGUUCUUUGUGGUGGGCAUUGCUAUUACCUCCUUGUCUGCUUUUUUGUCAGCAUUCCAGAUGCUGAGUGCCUGCUCCCCUAAGCCAUGGUAUGGAUUGAAUUCAGCCACCUAGGCAUCCACAAGUCACAUUUUCAUUAGUGAACUCAACACAGAGCCACAGUCUGAUUGUACUGUUAAAAUGUUGGUAUGGCCCUGUCAGACACCCCGCCACAGCCCUGCCUGGCGGGACCGAGGGCCAGUGGGUGCUCAAAAGCAGAGACAUGGGCGCUGUUUUAGGAGAUUGUGUGGGGAAAGAUAGGAGAUUUCAGUGGUGUGAGUUGUAAGCUGUGCUGAGCAGGCAGCCCCAGGAGGCUCCUGGUGUGUUGCCAUGUCCACAUGAGCACUGCCAACUCUGCCACACGACGCCAUUUCUCUCAGGCUCUCCCGAUGACCACAGCUGUCUGUGAGGGGAGUGCCAGGAGAUCACAGGAACUGUGUCACUGUGACCAGAAGAGAAAGGGAGGAAAAGGACAAUGAAGACAAAACAUUCAAAGAAAACCUCAGCUCAAAUUUGAUUUUGAGUAGAGCAAAAUGUUAUGAGAAGUUGUACGGUAGGGAACUGUACGAGGAUGUGGAAGUGCCAGAUUGUACCCAUGCCUCUGCUGACAUUUUAGGAUGGCUGCAACAAAAACACUCUGACACCACCACAGUGUACCACACGCCAGGGAAGCUUUGGAGGCUCCUUGAAAUUCACGACAAAUGUAAAUACUGGCUGUUAAGUGACUAACUCUUAACAUUCCUGCCUACAGCUGAUGCUUGCUCCUGCAGUGAAUUAGAGGUAUACUUACACAGGAGAAAUUUUCUGCUCACAAAAAUAAGUGCUGGUUGAAAGUCAAUGAGUUAAUAUUUUGACAAACGAGGGUUUUAUUUUUACACAUGCCUUGAUGAAAACAAGGUGAAUAUUCCAUUCUUGAAGGACUACAUUUUGUUUCAGAAACUAGUUAUUACUCUUGCUUUAUUUUUAUGUUCAUGAUCUGAAAUACUUCAGACUUACUGCCCCAGGAUGAAUUGAAGUUUCGGUUCAGAUCUGUGCCGUAGCAGGUGCCAUUCUCAUAUGGAGAACGGCUUUUCCUCCACAAACGAUCCUGAAGAAAAGUAACUUCUGUUACGUAAUAAAAACUCAUUGAUCCAUAUGGCCCAGUGAUUAUAUGGUGUAAAUACCCCUUUCUUUUGACCUCUGCAUUCUAACUAACCCUGGUAUUGUAAGAGUACAACUCCAUGUGCAAGGGUGAUAAAGCUCAGCGGCAGAACAAUUCAUCUACUACAGCCAGUCUGUCAUCAGCCACAAACCUGUGUUCACUCUGAAAUAAGCCUCCUGAACUUUUUUUUUUUUAAGUAUGCUUUUUCUGUAGUACUGCUUCUGUGCAGUGUAGUACUCCUAAGCAAGGCAUUAUGAGUCAUAAGAGAUGAUAGCAUGUUUCAGAUUCAGAAAGAUUAAUUAUUUUUUGUCAGUUAAUCUUGCUACUGUCCCCUGGUUCCCUGCUAUACUCACAGCUACACAGGUUCUGUGCAGACCUCACUGCACUACCUGCAUGAGCUUCCCAGAUGAACUACUGUGCAUCCAAGUGCAGCAUUUGGUAUGCCCCACACCUGCUGGGAAGCAAGGUGGGAGACAGCCCAAUCCACAGAGUGGUAGCCAUGGGCCAUCCAAAGGUCCUGCAUUAAAAGGUGCUUCAACUAGGCACAGGGGCCUAAAAGCAUGGUGAGAGUGGCUGAAGGCCAACAUUUUGCAUUACUGUCUAUAUCAGAAAAGGAAGAUUAUUUGGGAGGGCACACCUCUUCCAUAACCAAAUAGCCUGAUAUUUGACCAAUUCUCCUCCUGUGCUGUGCAAAGGUUCUAAGACACAUCUGCUACUUGACAUCCUUUAUGAAUGGAUAACUCUUCCAGACGUACUUAAGUCCAUCAACCAAGCCUUGAGCUGUUAUCAAAGAAGUAAUCCUAUCCCCAGAUAGGAAACCAAUUGAUCUUGUGGGUUUGUCUUCCCAAGUCUCAUUUGCUAGCAAUAUUUAGAUAAUUUCAAGUGAUCACUGAUUUUUCACAGAAGAAACAAAAUCUCUCUGCCAUGAAAGGAUUUAUGAGAAUAUCACUGUUUUCUGUUUAAGUAUAAUUGCUAUGACGCUAUCUAAAAGUAACAAAACAUGCUGGGCACAUCUAACUUUCAGUCUAGUUCCUGGAUUUUCACUACUUACUGUUUCCCAGGAAUAGAUGUAGCCAUCAAUAUUGAGGACUGGCAAGACAUAGAGGUCCAAAUUCUGCAGAAAUCUGCUUAUCUUUGGGUCAGUUUUGUAAUUUUGAAGAAUCUGAAAAGAAAACAUACAGAGCACUGAGCAGAGAAUUUGGUGGUAAUCACUGCAAAGAGUGAGUUUAGAACUAUCAUCCAGUGAUUACUCACUCCUGGACAUCACCAUGGUACCCAACACCUACUUGAUCCCCAGUGUGCCAGGUACUUUUUCUAUACACAUGGAACAUUGCUAUAUCAUAGAUUAGGGGUUAUGUUAUAUCAUAGAUUAAGGAUUUAUUUCAGGAGGAUUGUGGCUUUUUGGUAGAGAGAGGCUUGAUCUAACAGCCUUUGUGAGAAAAGGUGAUGUUGAUACCAAGUUUUGGAAAGCUUUAGAAACAUUCAGCUGGAGGAACUGGCACACUAAUUAAUAUUGUCCCAUAUCUCAAACCGUGCUUUGGACUUUGUUCUCCACAGAUAUCUGUACUAUACACUAAUUUUGCAAAUCAUAUUUUAAGAGAAAAGCAUAAUACUUGGUACCAAAAUAGAAAAGAUAACGGAAGCAUCCAAAUUGAUAUGGUUUGCUUUUUAUCUAAAUGAAAGAGUAAGGACUCACUUCUUUCACAAACCACUGACAGAAGGCUGGAGAGAUCCAUUCUCUGGCAUGAAUCCCACAGUCCAUCCAAAUUAUCUUUUUGGUUUUAUCUGAUGGUUGGCUG